AGUGAACGCUGGCGGUAGGCCUAACACAUGCAAGUCGAACGGCAGCACAGUAAGAGCUUGCUCUUACGGGUGGCGAGUGGCGGACGGGUGAGGAAUACAUCGGAAUCUACUUUUUCGUGGGGGAUAACGUAGGGAAACUUACGCUAAUACCGCAUACGACCUACGGGUGAAAGCAGGGGAUCUUCGGACCUUGCGCGAUUGAAUGAGCCGAUGUCGGAUUAGCUAGUUGGCGGGGUAAAGGCCCACCAAGGCGACGAUCCGUGGCUGGUCUGAGAGGGUGAUCAGCCACACUGGAACUGAGACACGGUCCAGACUCCUACGGGAGGCAGCAGUGGGGAAUAUUGGACAAUGGGCGCAAGCCUGAUCCAGCCAUACCGCGUGGGUGAAGAAGGCCUUCGGGUUGUAAAGCCCUUUUGUUGGGAAAGAAAAGCAGCAGGUUAAUACCCCGCUGUUCUGACGGUACCCAAAGAAUAAGCACCGGCUAACUUCGUG
rnacentral:rRNA from 1 species